rnacentral:rRNA from 1 species
GACGAACGCUGGCGGCGUGGAUUAGGCAUGCAAGUCGAACGGUAUCAUCCUUUCGGGGGUGAGAGAGUGGCGAACUGGUGAGUAACACGUAGGUUAUCUACCCUCAAGACGGGGACAACCCAGGGAAACUUGGGCUAAUACCGGAUGUGAGCAACUUUUAGUUGUUUGAAAGGUGGCGUAAGCUGUCGCUUGGGGAUGAGCCUGCGUCCUAUUAGUUAGUUGGUGAGGUAACGGCUCACCUAGGCAAUGAUAGGUAGGCGGCCUUAACGGGUGGUCGCCCACACUGGGAUUGAGAUACGGCCCAGACUCCUACGGGAGGCAGCAGUCGAGAAUAGUCUACAAUGGUCGGAAGACUGAUAGUGCGACGCCGCGUGAACGAUGAAUCCCUUCGGGGUGUAAAGUUCUUUUAUAUGUGAGCAGUGCUUCUUAUAUUAACAGUAUGGGGAGAGAGAUAUUAGCAUAUGAAUAAGCAACGGCUAACUCCGUGCCAGCAGCCGCGGUAAACUCU